AACGAACGCUGGCGGCAUGCCUAACACAUGCAAGUCGAACGAGACCUUCGGGUCUAGUGGCGCACGGGUGCGUAACGAGUGGGAACCUGCCCUUAGGUUCGGAAUAACUGCCCGAAAGGGGGGGUAAUACCGGAUAAUGUCUUGGGACCAAAGAUUUAUCGCCUUUGGAUGGGCCCGCGUUGGAUUAGCUAGUUGGUAGGGUAAAAGCCUACCAAGGCGACGAUCCAUAGCUGGUCUGAGAGGAUGAUCAGCCACACUGGGACUGAGACACGGCCCAGACUCCUACGGGAGGCAGCAGUGGGGAAUAUUGGACAAUGGGCGAAAGCCUGAUCCAGCAAUGCCGCGUGAGUGAUGAAGGCCUUAGGGUUGUAAAGCUCUUUUACCCGGGAUGAUAAUGACAGUACCGGGAGAAUAAGCUCCGGCUAACUCCGUG
rnacentral:rRNA from 1 species